rnacentral:rRNA from 1 species
UACGUAGGGGGCAAGCGUUGUCCGGAUUUAUUGGGCGUAAAGAGCUCGUAGGCGGUGUGUCACGUCGAUCGUGAAAACUUACAGCUUAACUGUGAGCGUGCGGUCGAUACGGGCAUCACUGGAGUUCGGCAGGGGAGACUGGAAUUCCUGGUGUAGCGGUGAAAUGCGCAGAUAUCAGGAAGAACACCCGUGGCGAAGGCGGCUCUCUGGAACGCAACUGACGCUGAGACGCGAAAGCGUGGGGAGCGAACAGG